rnacentral:rRNA from 1 species
AAUACUGGUGGAGGCCUAAACAUGCAAGUCGAGCGCACCUUCGGGUGAGCGGCGGACGGGUUAGUAACGCGUGGGAACGUGCCCAGAUCUGCGGAAUAGCCACUGGAAACGGUGAGUAAUACCGCAUACGCCCUUCGGGGGAAAGAUUCAUCGGAUUUGGAUCGGCCCGCGUUAGAUUAGGUAGUUGGUGGGGUAACGGCCUACCAAGCCUACGAUCUAUAGCUGGUUUUAGAGGAUGAUCAGCAACACUGGGACUGAGACACGGCCCAGACUCCUACGGGAGGCAGCAGUGGGGAAUCUUAGACGAUGGGGGCAACCCUGAUCUAGCCAUGCCGCGUGAGUGAUGAAGGCCUUAGGGUCGUAAAGCUCUUUCGCCAGGGAUGAUAAUGACAGUACCUGGUAAGGAAACCCCGGCUAACUCCGUGCCAGCAGCCGCGGUAAUACGGAGGGGGUUAGCGUUGUUCGGAAUUACUGGGCGUAAAGCGCGCGUAGGCGGACCAGAAAGUUAGGGGUGAAAUCCCGGGGCUCAACCCCGGGACUGCCUCUAAAACUCCUGGUCUAGAGUUCGAGAGAGGUGAGUGGAAUUCCGAGUGUAGAGGUGAAAUUCGUAAAUAUUCGGAGGAACACCAGUGGCGAAGGCGGCUCACUGGCUCGAUACUGACGCUGAGGUGCGAAAGUGUGGGGAGCAUACAGGAUUAUAUACCCUGGUAGUCCACACCGUAUACGAUGAGUGCCGGUCGUCGGUAGCAUGCUAUUCUGUGACACUCGUAACGGAUUAAUGCAUUCCGACUGUGCAGUACAGUCGCAAGAUUAAUACUCAUGGAAUUGACGG